rnacentral:rRNA from 1 species
ACUCCUACGGGAGGCAGCAGUGGGAAUAUUGGACAAUGGGGGAAACCCUAGAUCCAGCCAUGCCGCGUGUGUGAAGAAAGGCCCUUCGGGUUGUAAAAGCACUUUCAGUGGGGAGGAAAGGUUGCAGGUUAAUACCCUGUAGCUGUGACGUUACCCACAGAAGAAGCACCGGCUAACUCCGUGCCAGCAGCCGCGGUAAUACGGAGGGUGCAAGCGUUAAUCGGAAUUACUGGGCGUAAAGCGUGCGCAGGCGGUCUGUUAAGCGAGAUGUGAAAGCCCC